rnacentral:rRNA from 1 species
AGGAUUAACGCUGGCGGCGUGCCUAACACAUGCAAGUCGAACGAGGUAGCAAUACCUAGUGGCAGACGGGUGAGUAACGCGUGGUCAACCUACCGUUGAGUGGGGGAUAACUAGCCGAAAGGUUAGCUAAUACCGCAUACGAGUCUCGGGGGCAUCCCUGGGCCUUAAAAGGAGCAAUCCGCUCGAUGACGGGACCGCGUCCCAUUAGCUAGAUGGUGGGGUAAUGGCCUACCAUGGCACCGAUGGGUAGCUGGUUUGAGAGAGCGACCAGCCACACUGGGACUGAGAAACGGCCCAGACUCCUACGGGAGGCAGCAGUGAGGAAUUUUCCGCAAUGGGCGAAAGCCUGACGGAGCGACGCCGCGUGUGGGAAGAGGCCUUCGGGUCGUAAACCACUGUCGAAGGGGACGAUAAUGACGGUACCUUGGAGGAAGCCCCGGCUAACUACGCGCCAGCAGCCGC